GGGUGGUAUCAUUCAGGUUUAACUUUUUAUUUGCUCAUUUCAAGAAAAAAAUCUGCUUCGAAAAGUACAAAUUUUGGCAUGUAUGAAGCUCUCUGGCUUAGAUUAAUCCCAAGCCAACGCAAUCAAUGAUAAAUUAUGUGUUUUGCUGCAGUUAAAGCCCAAUAAAAAGCUCUUUACCAUUAUUGUCUGUUGAUCAGCAGAGACUGCAAAGUGAAAGUUAAUCCAAACUGCAAAAUGCAAAAGCAGUUUCAGUGUAUGUUGGAGCCAUCUCUUCAUCCCUGAGCCUGCUGCUGCAUGUUCAUGAAACCUGGAGAAACACAGAAGACAGAAACCUAUGUAAGGACCAACAGGUUUACACUUAUAUGGGUGCAAAAAAAGAAGACAUUCAUCCAUCCUAAAGUAAGGUUUGUUGCUUUAAUCAUGCAAAAACAGCCAUCAGUCCACCAGGGAUCAAACAGUAGUGGUGCUGCGUGUGAAUAAUAAAAGAAAAUGUCUUAGAAUAAAAAGUAAACCUUUGUGUGUUGAUAAAAUGCUCCAGUUUGCACAAAGAGAAUUAAUAAAGAGGCAUUUGUAGCUUUUAUGCUGAGUCAUCUUUAAAAAAGUUCUAUUAGUCAGAUUAGGACACAUCAGAAAAGUAUCAAGACAUAAAACUGUUUAUAUGAAAUAAAUUAAUAGAUGAAAAACUGAUCAGCAUCAAAGAUGAACUUUUUUUUUAUUUUCUGCAAGAGAAAUGGAUGGACGGUCCAACAGCUGAAUUCUCCACCAUGCUCACCAGCCAAAGGUUGUUGGUACAGACAACAUGAAGCAUAGAUGACUCUACACAGACUCACUCAUAACAAUAGAGGAGGUCACUGAAAGACAAACCAAAAAAGAAGAGAUAACUACUGUUCAGAUGUUCAGUCUUUAAACAGCAGAAGUCAAGGGGUAGGGCCAGCUAAAGCGUCAAACCACCAAAAAGUAACAUCAUUGGCAUUUAUAUAAAGUAUCUUCUUAAUAAACAGCAAAUGUUAGCAAUCAUUGUGUAAACAUAUCUGGAAAAACAGAUUUAUUAUUUUAGUUUGAGGGUAACUGGACAUGUAAACGUGUUAGUCUGACAGAAAUCACAACAAACCAAACUUCUAAUAGUUUGACUAACAAGCCUGUAUAAUGCUGUUCAGGUUUGAUUUUCUGUGCCAUAUAUACGGCUCAAUUGAACUGAAACUGGUCUAAGCGUUCUGUGUAUGCCUCAGUGUCCGCAUGCCGGGCCUUUAGUGGGAGAUCACACAAUUUAAAUAUGUUGCAGGUAACAGAAUCCUGAAAUGAUGAAAAAAAGACAAAGAUUUCCUAACAAACUGCAAAGAGGGAUGAAAGAGACAAUGUUUGCAAUUACAUGUACAUACCACUAGCCUCUUGUUAACAUGUUUUGCAGACUGUAUUGAUAUGUAACACAUUAAGCAGGAGACGCCCUGAUAGCAACAAACUGGAAGGGGACAUGUGACCACCUACCAAAGUGAAGGCAGACACGCUCCUGUCAAUAAUUUGAUUUUUGCCCACUGCAUGCAAACUAGAACAGUAACAGCAGGCAGUUAAACUGCCUAUUUGAGCUUUAAUGGUAGCUCAACUAACAAGUGUAUGUAAACGUACUGAGUGUUCUUGCCAUAGCUAAUCAGUAGUUGUAGUCCUGUAGAUAGUUACCCUACUAAGUCCCGAGUAAAAACUUAGGGACUGCUGUCACACUGGCAAAUUUUGUACGUUUUGUAGUGCAUAAAAAGUAUGACAGAGUAACACACUUCACAAUGUUUUUAAUGCACUUAAUGCUCCUCACACCUCUGGUCUUUAUCUCUCCCUCCUCAACCUCAUCCUUACCUCAAUCUCAAACCUCAACUAUCUCAAUUAUUCUGCACCUCCACCACCUCCAUCUGUUCACCUCCUCCUAAUCUAAACUCAUCUGACUCCUUCUCCACCUCACCACACUCCCCUCCGUCACCCCCUCUCCUCCCUCCCCGAUGUGAAACGCUGACCCUGUGCCUGGUGUCUCCUGGUACUGGGGCUGCCUGCCAAGCUGAACGGGCCCAGAUACAUCGGGUAGCCAGGCUGUGUGUGUGUGUGUGUGUGUGUGUGUGCGUGUGUGUGUGUGUGUGUGUGUGUGUGUGUGUGUGUGUUCGGUCACGGCGUGGGGAUUAUGUGUAUGUGAGUGAUUGAGGGUGACAGCGGCCCUAGCAUUAGGGGCCCUGUGGCAGAUUUCGUGGUCCUGUUUUAGACACACUAAGCUGGAUUUACCAGCAGCAGUGUGUCAGCAGUGAUGCAGCCUGCCUGGACCUCCUACAGAACACACACACACAAAUACACACGAGUGCAAGCACACACUCAGACCCUGGUCACCUCUGACCUCACCUAUCUACCUGCAGCCUGUCUGAAUUAUCCGAGCAUCCCUCUAUCUCUCUGCAUCACUUAAUAAAAAAGUUUUUUUCGGACUUUCACAUGUGAGUUUUACUCAGAGACAUUGCUGACUCAGUUACACCUGCAAAACGAACACCUGAGCCACUGCACUGAACACUAUCUGUACUUAAAGCUCCUAUAAGGAGAUUUUAAGAUCGAUCAAACGUACUGAAAUUCCUAUUCAUGCCUUUUUACAACAUUUUAAAGCAAAACUGACCUUCAGUGCCAGUAGUAAUGAAUUUUAUUUUGGUAUUUUCAAUGUUUGAAACUGAGAGGGUAAGUGUCAGCCAAGGAGCUGAAAAUAUUGCGCUGUCUGUACAAUAUCAAGACAUGAUGAGUAAAGACUGCUUUGUUCACGAGGAGGCGACAAAAUUUGCACUUACUGAAAGUUCUUCACAGGAGCUUUAACUUGAGUUAUAACAAUUCUGCCAACUUCUUCUUCUUUUACUCCUCUACAUUUCUUGAAUAAAUGUGCAUAUGGCUCUGAUAAAAUUCCCCUAAUUCUUCCUCUCAGAAAUUAGUGAUGAUUUAAAAUUUUUCCCCUCAUGAAAACAAACUUUAAAUGAGACAGAGAUUGAAAAUUUGACCUGGUGGGGCGCUGGUUUAGCCUAGAGGUUAAAUGUGCAGCCCAUUUACAGAGUUUUACAGUCUUUGCCAAAGCAGUUUCAGGAUUGACUCCCUGUAUCUCCUCUGCUUCACUUUGUGCUCAAGUAAUGACUUAAAAAAACAGGAUGAUGGUAAUGCAACUUUCUGAAUGCCAUGUGGCGAAAGGCUGGCAAGCUUAAGAAAUGUUUCUUUGUGAUGUAAGAAACCUUGGCUGUCUGUAUCUUUAUUUGAAAGAUUAUUAUGAUUGAGCGCAAACUGGGGUCAAAAACUGAGGAUGGUAGCAGUGCAACACUUUAGAGGCCAAGUGGGGUAAAAACCCCAGAAACCGGAGAGAGUCAGUUCGUAAAUAUGUGAGAUUUUUAUUGAAACACUGCCUUUCUUAAUUUUGAUUUUUUUUUUUUAAACUGAAAAAUACCUCUGAAUGAAUUGAUGCUUGGAGUUUAAAAAAACAACAACACUGGGUUGGUAGGCUUAUAAUGAGAUGAGGUGGAAUUCCGAAUUUUGUGAAGAUCCCGCAGACUUUAUGACAGUUUUUUAAGGUAUGAAAUCUUUGAAGUCCUGGCUGUAUCUGUACUUUAUGUUUUUCAAACACUCCUAGCUGUUUAUUUAUGAAGAUGAAUACUUCAAUAGAAUAGAGACAGAGAAGUUAAAUCAUUAUGGUGGAAGUAACAGCAUUAGGGAUGAAAAGUGGCGUACGAACCUUGCAAGUGAAAUGAUAUCUCGGGCAGAUCAUUGUCUGCUGCUCAGAUGGUGUGUCUGUGUAAAGACAUUUCCUAAAGCUCAGUUAUUGUAUGACGGCUGCUGAAGGUGGAUUUUGUUCCACUUCCUUUACUCUCUACGUGGACUGCGUUUCUGUGCUCAGUUAAACCCUCAUGAUUGUGCUCAGGCUACAAAGAAAAGUUAACUUGAGGUCUGCUUCCCCCAAACCCUCCGGCUUACAUCAAAGGUACAAGAAUUACAGUCUUUGGUUCCGGGAACUUUUCUUAUCCGUUCUCCCAAAGGUUAGAAUUGACCUGAAGAAAAGGGUGUUUGAGUCUGUAGCUCCUGUUAUUCAAAACCAGUUCACAAAAGUAAAAAGUAGUGAGGAACUUUUGAUUUUUAUUUUUCCUAUUAACAAAGAUGCACAAAUUGUUUCUUUUCUAGAGCCCAGUACAUCCAAAGACAAAAAGUCUCACUUUGCUUUCUUUUAAUAUGUGUCAAAUGUGUAAAUUACUGUGAAUAUUCAUUAGAAAUGUAGAGAAAGACUCUUUCCUCAGCAUACUGUUUAUAAUCUGGUUUGACACCUACCCUCUGCAGCAGGAUUAAACACUAAAAUCUACAAUAAAGAGAUCAACAGUCAUGUUACUGAAGGUCUUGCUUGCUUUAGUAGGUCAUAAAUAGGCAUCAGUGUCAAUUUAAAUCUGUUUUGUGAACAGGAAAAAACCCUCCUUAUCGGAGCUUUAAGACACUUGCUGCACUUAAUGCUUUAAAAGCUUUUUAAAUGGCUUUUAGGCAGACAGCUCUUGUUAGAUUCACAGUUUUACACAGAGACUUAGACCAUUUUGGUCUCCUUUUUUAUUUAUUUUCUCUGUUUAAUGUCUUCAGAUUCAAUAAAGCCAUGCAUCUUAUAUUAUUUUUGCAUGUAUUGCUACUCACUGUUUGCCAGAAACAUUAACUGCACUGAUGCCACCUUGAAUUUAAUAUCUUAACACAGGGUUUCAAGCUUCAUUGAGUUAAAAAUAAAAUAAAAACACUUUCAAUACCAAAGUCGAUAGUCAAAUUUUAAAGACAAUUCUUACAGAAAUGAUUUCAACCCUGUGGCUUCAAGCUCAUGUACAAUUAGUGUAAUGCACACAGGUGGGAAUGUAAAUUACCUGAGUCUCGCAGAUCUAAUGAAAUGACUUGAUUGCUGUAUGUUUAAUUAGAGUUGUGAGACUAAUGACAAAUUCAGCCAAUAUAACAAAAAUGCUUUGAUAUAAUCCUACGGCUAUCUGAGGUUUAAUUUACAACAUACAGAUUAUGAUGCAGGAUUCUUUGGUUGUUCUGUACUUAGUUUUGAUGUAUAUGUUAACAAGCUGGGUAGGUUUUUAUAUUAGUUUACAAAGCAAACACAAAUCAAACCCUUCCUGCUUCUCUCUGAUACGACUUCCUGAUCGAUAAACGAGUGAUUGAUGGACUACACGUGCAGCUAAGAAUGUGUAUGAUCGGCCUGAAAAAAGUGCUCUUUAUGAUCUGAGUCCCUUCAUAAGCCUCAACAGUUUUCAAAUCACACUUUCUGCAUCUGACUAUUGUUCAUUAUAGCUCUUCUACAGAGAAAUGCAUGCUGGGUAAACUGCUGUAUAUGUGUGGUCACACAGAGGGUAUGUGAGGCCACUGUGGCCCCUGUAUGUCUGCACACACACUCACACACACACAUAUUGCAGUUUUCUUUGUGCGCUCUGAAUGUUUAUGCGAACACCUUUGUCCAUUUGUGUGUGUUUGCGUGUGCUACUGUGUGUGUGAGUGUGAGUGUGAGUGUGUGUGCUUCCAGAUCUCUGUUACAGCCUGUCCAUUGUGAAGGCGAGUGUUGAGCAAGAUCCUGACCCACCGGCGGGUACUAAUCAGACGCAUUCCUCAGGAUUAAACGGCCAAUUAACAAUAAGAGAGCCAUUGUAGCCCUGUCUCCCUGUGCGUCACAGUUAAAAGGUUUGUGUGUGUCGCAGUGCGCGCGUGUGUGGCAAGGGAAUGUGUGUUUGUGUGCGCAAGGUGCUUUAACCAUUCAAAAAGCUCUCUUUGUGACUUUUUUUUACCAGCUUGCUGCACUUGUUCGUUGCACUUCUCAGAAUUUUGGUUAACAUGCACGCCAUAGCUUCAUAAAAACUCUUUAUUAGAUAUGUGCAAUCUAAUGUAAAGCAGAGUAAAAAGAGGUGCAUUGUGGGUCCUGCAUGCCAAAUAGUGGCUGCAAGUCACAAGAUUGUGUGUGUGUGUGUAACAUGGUGUUCCUAAUGAUGCAAGUUAAUCCAGGGUUUGUUGGGUGCACCUGGACUUUAAACACUAACACAGCACCACAAACAAUAUCAUGAUUAAUAUUUCCUGUUCUGUUCACUGGGGUUUAUAUCUCAGUGUUGUGCAUGUUGUGUAUCUUCAGCAUGUCUGCACAUAAAUUGUGUUUUAUGUGUGUGUUUGUGAGUGUGUUUUGGCGUGUGUGUCUGCAGAUUGGGUAUAUGCAUCAGUGUGGCACGUGUCGGAGUGUGGCAGAGGAUUAGUGAGGCUCAGGGCCUGUUGCUCCACUUCCAUGAUUACUACUGCUGUCUACUGCCAUAUGGGGUGGGGUGGGGGUGCAGGUGGAGGAUGGUGGCUGUGGGGGGUUUGCAA